AACCUCGGAGUGACCUUCAGUAGCACUUUUAGAUUUGAUAAGCAGGUCAGCAGCGUAGUCAAGACCUGCUUUUUAUAAAUACGACUAUUGGCCAAGACCAAGUCCUUUUUAUCUUUUAAAGACCUGGAAAGGGUUAUUAACGCCUUUGUUACCUCGAGACUGGAUUACUGCAACGCUCUGUACGCGGGUACGGACCAGGCCUCAAUCAGACGCCUGCAGCUAGAGCAGAAUGCAGCUGCACGUCUUCUGACUGGACACAAAGAGCGUGACCACAUCACCCCAUCUCUGGCCUCACUGCCCCGGCUUCCAGUUCGGUUCAGAACUGAUUUUAAAAUCCUUUUAUUAGUUUUCAAAGCCCUGAAUGGGCUGGCUCCUCCUAUGUAGCUGAACUCCUCCAGCGCUACACCCCAGAGCCUUAAGGACUGCUGACCAGCUGCUGCUGGUAGCGCCCCAGAGCCUUAAGGUCUGCUGACCAGCUGCUGCUGGUAGCGCCCCAGAGCCUUAAGGUCUGCUGACCAGCUGCUGCUGGUAGCGCCCCAGACCAGGCUCUAAACCUGAGGGCACUGAGCCUUCAGCUGGCCCUCUGGAUCACUCUGCCCCUCCAUGUGAGGUCGGCCCAGACCCUAGGGGGUUUUAAAUCUACUCUAAAGACUCACUUCUUCUCCCUGGCCUUCUAGUCAGAGCGGAGUAGGCCCAUGACUCCUCCUGACUCCUCCUGACUCCUCCUGACUCCUCCUGACUCCACCUGACUCCUCCUGACUCCUCCUGACUCCUCCUGACUCCUCAUGACUCCUCCUGACUCCUCCUGACUCCUCAUGACUCCUCCUGACUCCUCCUGACUCCUCCCUGAGUUUUCUAUAUCUGUUGUAAUUGAUUGUCUUUAUUUUGAUUGUAGUGUUUUUAUUAAAUGUGCAGCACUUUGGCUCGACCAAAGAUCACUUUCAAACGUGCUUCAUAAAUAAAACUUGAUUUGAUUUGAAUCAACGUAACUCUCUAUUUCUAACGCAUCGACUCACUUCUGAUUGAGGUGACGUUCGCGAACGAUAUGAUUCUUUUGAACGGCUCUUUGGAACGAAGGGAACCGAGUCGUUCUUUUUAUGGUUGGUUCACUGCCGGACAUAGAUCCACUCGGCUUUACGGGGACUCGCUCUCCUGAACGCACAUGAGCCGUAGACGAUGGCGUGACGCAGCUCGAGUUGGAGUUCGAGAGAUGAAGCAAGUUAGACGUCUUCUGAGAGUUAAAGUAGAUUUCUGGCAAAACAGUCAAUCUUUAUUCUGGGGAUUAUUCUGCAGAUAAACCAAGUGACCCCGCCCCCUUA